rnacentral:rRNA from 1 species
CCUACGGGUGGCAGCAGUGGGGGAUAUUGCACAAUGGGGGGAACCCUGAUGCAGCGACGCCGCGUGGGUGAAGAAGCGCCUCGGCGCGUAAAGCCCUGUUAGCAGGGAAGAAAAUGACGGUACCUGAAGAAGAAGCCCCGGCUAACUACGUGCCAGCAGCCGCGGUAAUACGUAGGGGGCAAGCGUUAUCCGGAUUUACUGGGUGUAAGGGGGGCGCAGACGGGGAUGCAAGCCAGGGGUGAAAGCCCGGGGCCCAACCCCGGGCUGGUGUUUGAACCUGCUUGGUGGAGUGCCAGAAGGGCAGGCGGAAUUCCUGGUGUAGCGGUGAAAUGCGUAGAUAUCAGGAAGAACACCGGUGGCGAAGGCAGCCUGCUGGACUGCAACUGACGUUGAGGCCCGAAAGCGUGGGGAGCAAACAGGAUUAGAUACCCUGGUAGUC